rnacentral:misc_RNA from 1 species
AGAAAGCUCGCUGGCUGCGCCGCCGUGGGCGUAGAUGGGGUCUCUCCUCGGCGACCUACCAUCCUACAACCCUCAAAACUUCAGCCAACUCCGCCCGUCCGAUCCGGCCUCCCAGCAAUCCAAACUCACGGAAGCCACGUAUCGCGCUACUCACAACAGGACUCUUCCACCGCCCAGUCAAGUUAUAACAUCUGAAGCAAAAAACAUUCUUUU